rnacentral:rRNA from 1 species
CACCCGUUCCCAUACCGAACACGGAAGUUAAGCUCUUUAGCGCCGAUGGUAGUUGGGGAUUCCCCCUGCGAGAGUAGGACGUCGCUUCGC